AGAAUGCCCAUGCCUGUGGUCCAGCUAUGUAUUGGAGUAUUUGACACUGUUGACCUGAUUUUGGCCCAUUUGGCCUAACAUUUCCAUAAAUAUCCUUUUGCACUUUCUGUGUUUGAGUCAUUGAGAGAUGGCAAGUUGACUAGUGAUACAUGUCCAAAUGUAUUUAGCUCAGCAAACAAAAAAUUCUGGGGCUUUGGUCUGGUACCACCAGCCACCAGGACCCACCAUGUUACCAUGGGGCUUUGGCAGUGUUUUCUCACUUUCUGGGUGGGGUUACCAUAACCUUGUUUGCUAGCCAGUAUAUACCAGUGUUCUGUUUGCCUAGUGAUUUGAAUUCAUGAUUGAACUUUUGAGCUACCUUUAGUCAGGUCUGCUGACAUUUGACAGCUUCUGUCGAUAACUUACUUUGAUAUUACAUUUUUCUGCAUGAUGAUGAAUGCUGAUCUGUGCUUCUUCUUUUAUUUUGAGGUUAAGAUGUGUCCUUGUUCUUGCAGGAGUACCUCCAUUUCUUCUGUAACCCUCCACUCUGCCACAGAGACAUCAAGUCGAGCAACAUUCUUUUGGACGAAAACUUUGUUGCCAAGGUUGCUGAUUUCGGCCUUGCGCACGCAUCGAGAACUGGUGCUAUCAGCUUUGAAGCUGUCAACACAGAUAUACGCGGAACUCCAGGUUUGAAUUUCGCCUGUAGAUCUGAACUGUUUGGAAGUUACUUUGUGUCUCCCACUAUGGAUAGCAGAAGGUCACUGAGUGAGUAAGUGUAGCAAGUACUAUCAAACAUAGACAAGAACUCGUGCAGAAAUGCAGUAUAGUUUUUCCUUUUUCUCAUUUUCUUAGUGGAAGAAAUGUAGUUUAGUGGGAGGUAAUCUGGUGAUGCAAUGGCACAACAUGGGUAAGAAAAGGAAGCAUCUUGUGCUUAUGAGUCGUAGAGCAGCAUACAUACGGAGCAUGUUACUUUGCUGCCUGUAAAUUCCUGGCAAACCUCAACCACUAGUAGUCACAUGGAGUAACAUCCAAAUCCAGUCUCACCAUGCUUUGGAUCACCGACACAUCCCUUCUCUCUAUACUCCAGCACAAUAAUCCUCAGACAAACAAGCACCAGAAAGAAGAACUUGAGCAGAGUAUAGGACUACCACCUUCUCACUAGUAGUUUCAGUAUGGUUUCAGUAUAGUUUCAGUAGCCAAUUUGCUAUUCACUUUGUGCUAUUAGUUUGCUUCCAUCUUUGUGCCCACUCCGAAGAGUAUUCGUAUAUGCUUGGAACUAAACAGAAUUAUACAAUGAACUUCUGCAGGCUGAUCUGAGUUGGACCAUCCUCUGCAGCCAACUUCUCUUCGGCAAGAGGAAGAAAGGAGAAUCAGGGUACGGAUAUCAUUGCAUACCUGCGCAUAUAUUUCUGUUGUGAGCAUAACUCCAGAAUUUAUUUAUCUGUGAUUCGUAUUGGGUUAAUAAUCUGCAGCUAGUUGUAUUUUUAAUUCACUAGCCUUUUACUUAUACAUGAGAGAAGUGGGAAGCUAAGUCAAUAGGAGCUAAACUCAACCCUUGGCUUGUUACGUGAGCUCAAACUAGUACCUAGUGAGUGUUUCAUGUACUGAACUUGGAUUUCCGGUGUUUUUGUAACAUCCAUGUAAGGUUUCGUUCGGUAUAUUAAAUCCUAUGAAAUUAUCAAAGUGUGUUGUACUAUGUUGGACAGAAUUUUAUGUUUGGACUUGGGUGAAUGUAAACAGACUUAUACUCU